rnacentral:rRNA from 1 species
AAGUAGAUUAGAGUGUGCUAGCUUGCUAGAAUUUAGAUACAGGUGCUGCACGGCUGUCGUCAGCUCGUGUCGUGAGAUGUGGUUAAGUCCCGCAACGAGCGCAACCUCCGUGUUUAGUUGCUAACAGUUCGGCUGAGAACUCUAAACGGACUGCCUACGCAAGUAGGAGGAAGGUGAGGACGACGUCAAGUCAUCAUGGCCCUUACGGCCAGGGCUACACACGUGCUACAAUGGGGUAUACAAAGAGCAGCGAUACGGUGACGUGGAGCAAAUCUAGAAAAUGCCUCUCAGUUCGGAUUGUAGUCUGCAACUCGACUACAUGAAGUUGGAAUCGCUAGUAAUCGUAGAUCAGCAAUGCUACGGUGAAUACGUUCCCGGGCCUU